GACGAACGCUGGCGGCGUGCUUAACACAUGCAAGUCGAACGGAAAGGCCCUGCUUUUGUGGGGUGCUCGAGUGGCGAACGGGUGAGUAACACGUGAGUAACCUGCCCUUGACUUUGGGAUAACUUCAGGAAACUGGGGCUAAUACCGGAUAGGAGCUCCUGCUGCAUGGUGGGGGUUGGAAAGUUUCGGCGGUUGGGGAUGGACUCGCGGCUUAUCAGCUUGUUGGUGGGGUAGUGGCUUACCAAGGCUUUGACGGGUAGCCGGCCUGAGAGGGUGACCGGCCACAUUGGGACUGAGAUACGGCCCGGACUCCUACGGGGGGCAGCAGUGGGGAUUAUUGCACAAUGGGCGGAAGCCUGAUGCAGCAACGCCGCGUGCGGGAUGACGGCCUUCGGGUUGUAAACCGCUUUCGCCUGUGACGAAGCGUGAGUGACGGUAAUGGGUAAAGAAGCACCGGCUAACUACGUG
rnacentral:rRNA from 1 species